AGAGUUUGAUCAUGGCUCAGAUUGAACGCUGGCGGCAUGCCUUACACAUGCAAGUCGAACGGCAGCACGGGAGCAAUCCUGGUGGCGAGUGGCGAACGGGUGAGUAAUACAUCGGAACAUGUCCAGUAGUGGGGGAUAGCCCGGCGAAAGCCGGAUUAAUACCGCAUACGAUCUGUGGAUGAAAGCGGGGGAUCGCAAGACCUCGCGCUAUUGGGGUGGCCGAUGGCGGAUUAGCUGGUUGGUGGGGUAAAGGCCUACCAAGGCGACGAUCCGUAGCUGGUCUGAGAGGACGACCAGCCACACUGGGACUGAGACACGGCCCAGACUCCUACGGGAGGCAGCAGUGGGGAAUUUUGGACAAUGGGGGCAACCCUGAUCCAGCAAUGCCGCGUGUGUGAAGAAGGCCUUCGGGUUGUAAAGCACUUUUGUCCGGGAAGAAAUCCUCUGCCCUAAUACGGCGGGGGGAUGACGGUACCGGAAGAAUAAGCACCGGCUAACUACGUGCCAGCAGCCGCGGUAAUACGUAGGGUGCGAGCGUUAAUCGGAAUUACUGGGCGUAAAGCGUGCGCAGGCGGUGAUGUAAGACCGAUGUGAAAUCCCCGGGCUCAACCUGGGAACUGCAUUGGUGACUGCAUCGCUGGAGUAUGGCAGAGGGGGGUGGAAUUCCACGUAGCAGUGAAAUGCGUAGAGAUGUGGAGGAACACCGAUGGCGAAGGCAGCCCCCUGGGCCAAUACUGACGCUCAUGCACGAAAGCGUGGGGAGCAAACAGGAUUAGAUACCCCCGUAGUCC
rnacentral:rRNA from 1 species